rnacentral:rRNA from 1 species
UGGGGAAUUUUGGACAAUGGGCGCAAGCCUGAUCCAGCCAUGCCGCGUGAGUGAAGAAGGCCUUCGGGUUGUAAAGCUCUUUCAGUAGGAACGAAACGAUAGGCUCUAACAUAGCCUGUUACUGACGGUACCUACAGAAGAAGCACCGGCUAACUACGUGCCAGCAGCCGCGGUAAUACGUAGGGUGCGAGCGUUAAUCGGAAUUACUGGGCGUAAAGCGUGCGCAGGCGGUUUCUUAAGCCAGAUGUGAAAGCCCCGGGCUUAACCUGGGAAUUGCGUUUGGAACUGGGAGACUAGAGUGUGGCAGAGGGAGGUAGAAUUCCACGUGUAGCAGUGAAAUGCGUAGAGAUGUGGAGGAAUACCGAUGGCGAAGGCAGCCUCCUGGGCCAACACUGACGCUCAUGCACGAAAGCGUGGGGAGCAAACAG